CUUCACCCCUAUCCAGCAGCAAGUAGCUAGAGCAGUCAUUGCCCAAUUCCUAAAAGCAGUUGGGGUGUCCUGUUUAGAGGGGGGAUUGAACCAAUUCCGGACACA